rnacentral:lncRNA from 1 species
CAUACCACCAUGCUACAUGAUUUUUUGUUCUUCCAUAACUCCCUAUCUCUUUCUCUUUGAUUUUCUAUUGAAAUUUGAUCUAAGUAUUUAUUACUCCUAUGUAUACGUUAGAUUGCCAACUUUGUGUGUUUCUGAAGAUCUUAUAACUAAAGAUGGCAAACAGGGUCGUGUGGGGAUAUUACAGGGCAAAUCCGUAAAAACUUCAACCGGCAACCUCACAUAGCCUAAAACUCACACUACCCUGCUGUAAAGAUAUGACAUUUGGGCCUAACUAAACCCCAAAAGCUAGCUCACGAGGGGAGGAUUGCCCAAGUCCAUAUAAGGAGAUCAUCAGUCCAAUCCCCAACUAAUGUGAACUUUCACCCACUCUAACACAUGUAUACGUUAGAUUGCCAACUUUGUGUGUUUCUGAAGAUCUUAUAGCUAAAGAUGGCAAACGGGGUCGUGUGGGGAUAUUACAGGGCAAAUCCGUAAAAACUUCAACCGGCAACCUCACAUAGCCUAAAACUCACACUACCCUGCUGUAAAGAUAUGACAUUUGGGCCUAACUAAACCCC